UACAGAGGUCUCAAGCGUUGUUCGGAUUCAUUGGGCGUAAAGGGUGCGUAGGCGGCGCGGUAAGUCGGGUGUGAAAUCUCGGAGCUUAACUCCGAAACUGCAUUCGAUACUGCCGUGCUUGAGGACUGGAGAGGAGACUGGAAUUUACGGUGUAGCGGUGAAAUGCGUAGAUAUCGUAAGGAAGACCAGUGGCGAAGGCGGGUCUCUGGACCGUUCCUGACGCUGAGGCACGAAGGCCAGGGGAGCAAACGGG
rnacentral:rRNA from 1 species